GAAAGAGGAGGAUGUAGUUUUUGGAGUGAAGGAGGAGAAAGAGGGAGAGAUAACUGUCAUAUUGACAGAGGAGUCAGGAGAUCUGAUUACCAUCAGAGAGAGACCAGACUCUGACAGCAGGAAGAGUUCCUCAGGGGAAACAGACCCAGAGACGCCUAACCAACACCACUGCUCCCACUGUGGAAAGAGUUUUAGGUGGUUAGGGAGCCUGAAAAUGCAUGAGAGAACACAUACAGGAGAAAAGCCCUACCACUGUUCCCACUGUGGAAAGAAUUUUACUCAGUUAGGAGCCCUGGUUGGGCAUGAGAGAACACACACGGGAGAGAAGCCUUAUCACUGUUCCCACUGUGGAAACAGUUUUAGGUGGUUAGUGAGCCUGAAAACGCAUGAGAGAAUACACACAGGAGAAAAGCCUUUCCAAUGUUCCCAGUGUGAAAAGAGUUUUAGGUGGUCGGGGAGCUUGAAAAAGCAUGCGAGAAAACACACAGGAGAAAAGCCUUUCCAACAUACUAAUACACAGGAGGAGAAGACAUACCACUGUUCUCAUUGUGAAAAGACAUUUUCCCAGUCAGAGGACCUGAAAUCACACGAGAGAAUAGAGAGGCUGUGUUCUGACUUGUGUUUCUGACUGAGAAUUUGUCCACGGCCAGGAUUCAUAGGGCCAGGGUGUCCGCUAUGGACGCCUGGAAAAAAUCAGCAGUGGACAUUUCUGAACGUUUAUCCAACAGACCUGUACAUCCAUGAAUGGAUCUCUAUAAUGUGUAACUAUUUCUGAUGUAUGUGUUGUGAUGAAUUGUUUAAUAGAUGUACUAUGUUAGGUAUAUUUAUCUGUGGUUUAAUUUCAACAGAUUUUACUGAUGCUAUUAGAUUGCUGUGUGGGGGGAGUUUUAUAUAUACAGUGCCUUCAGAAAGUAUUCACACCC